rnacentral:rRNA from 1 species
AGUGAACGCUGGCGGUAGGCCUAACACAUGCAAGUCGAACGGCAGCACAGUAAGAGCUUGCUCUUACGGGUGGCGAGUGGCGGACGGGUGAGGAAUACAUUGGAAUCUACUUUUUCGUGGGGGAUAACGUAGGGAAACUUACGCUAAUACCGCAUACGACCUACGGGUGAAAGCAGGGGAUCUUCGGACCUUGCGCGAUUGAAUGAGCCGAUGUCGGAUUAGCUAGUUGGCGGGGUAAAGGCCCACCAAGGCGACGAUCCGUAGCUGGUCUGAGAGGAUGAUCAGCCACACUGGAACUGAGACACGGUCCAGACUCCUACGGGAGGCAGCAGUGGGGAAUAUUGGACAAUGGGCGCAAGCCUGAUCCAGCCAUACCGCGUGGGUGAAGAAGGCCUUCGGGUUGUAAAGCCCUUUUGUUGGGAAAGAAAAGCAGCAGGUUAAUACCCCGCUGUUCUGACGGUACCCAAUGAAUAAGCACCGGCUAACUUCGUG